rnacentral:rRNA from 1 species
CCUANGGGAGGCAGCAGUGGGGAAUUUUGCGCAAUGGGCGAAAGCCUGACGCAGCGACGCCGCGUGGAGGACGAAGGUCUUCGGAUUGUAAACUCCUUUUGCAGGGGAAGAUAAUGACGGUACCCUGCGAAUAAGCCACGGCUAACUCUGUGCCAGCAGCCGCGGUAAGACAGAGGUGGCAAGCGUUGUUCGGAAUUACUGGGCUUAAAGGGCGCGUAGGCGGUGGAGUAAGUCCGGGGUGGAAGUCUAAGGCUCAACCUUAGGAUUGCCCUGGAAACUGCAUCACUUGAGUCAGCGAGGGGAUGGCGGAAUUCCCAGUGUAGCGGUGAAAUGCGUAGAUAUUGGGAGGAAGGCCGGUGGCGAAGGCGGCCAUCUGGCGCUGAACUGACGCUGAGGCGCGAAAGCGUGGGGAGCAAACAGGAUUAGAUACCCCGNUANUC